CCUACGGGUGGCAGCAGUGGGGAAUAUUGCACAAUGGGCGAAAGCCUGAUCCAGCAACGCCGCGUGAGCGAUGAAGGCCUUCGGGUCGUAAAGCUCUUUCCUCAAGGAAGAUAAUGACGUUACUUGAGGAGGAAGUCACGGCCAACUCCGUGCCAGCCGCCGCGGUAAUACGUAGGGGGCUAGCGUUAUCCGGAAUUACUGGGGGUAAAGGGUGCGUAGGUGGUUUCUUAAGUCAGAGGUGAAAGGCUACGGCUCAACCGUCGUAAGCCUAUGAAACUGGAGAACUGGAGUGCAAGAGAGGAGAGUGGAAUUCCUGGUGUAGCGGUGAAAUGCGUAGAUAUUAGGAAGAACACCAGUUGCGAAGGCGGCUUGCUGGAUUGUAACUGACACUGAGGCACGAAAGCGUGGGGAGCAAACAGGAUUAGAUACCCGAGUAGUC
rnacentral:rRNA from 1 species